GAUGAAGAACGUAGCGAAAUGCGAUAAGUAAUGCGAAUUGCAGAAUUCCAGUGAGUCAUCGAAUCUUUGAACGCACAUUGCGCCCGCUGGUAUUCCGGCGGGCAUGCCUGUUCGAGCGUCAUUUCAACCCUCAAGCCCCCGGGUUUGGUGUUGGGGAUCGGCUCUGCCCUUCUGGGCGGUGCCGCCCCCGAAAUACAUUGGCGGUCUCGCUGCAGCCUCCAUUGCGUAGUAGCUAACACCUCGCAACUGGAACGCGGCGCGGCCAUGCCGUAAAACCCCAACUUCUGAAUGUUGACCUCGGAUCAGGUAGGAAUACCCGCUGAACUUAAGCAUAUCAAUAAGCGGAGGA
rnacentral:misc_RNA from 1 species